rnacentral:misc_RNA from 1 species
GAAGCUUAAUAAUAUGCAUAUAAUCAACGACAAAGAGAGGAAAACAACCCAAUAUUCACGUAUCUAAAAACUAAGAUCACAGAACAUGGAUGUAGAAACAUCAUAGGAAAGCACUUCCAAGAAAGUACACAAAUCAACUCAGCUUCAAAAGCAGAUUGAAUUGGAUUUGAACUUUAAAUUUACAGUUGAGAUAUUGUCACAUUUCAUUU